rnacentral:lncRNA from 1 species
AUGAGGCAAAUGGUGAUCUCACCAGAUACUGACUGGUUUUCUGAUCCAUGCCCCUAUGCAUGUCCAUGUCCAUGUCCAUUCACCUCUCACAUCACCCAGCCCAUGUCCAUGUCCAUGCACCUCUAUAGGUCCACAGACGACGCAAUCGCAACCACACUGCACACUGCCCUAACCCAACUGGACAAGAGGAAUACCUAUGUGAGAAUGCUGUUCAUCGACUACAGCUCAGCAUUUAACAAUAUAGUACACUCCAAACUCGUCAACAAGCUCGAAACCCUGGGUCUCAACCCCGCCCUGUGCCAAACAAUGUCCAUGUACCUCUCAAGUCACCCAACCCAGGUCCAUGAAACUCUCACAUCACCCAACCCAUCUCUAUAUGCAUGCACCACUCACAUCACCCAACAAUGUCCAUUCAUCUCUCACAUCACCCAACAAUGUCCAUGCAACUCUCACAUCACCCAGCCAAUUUCCACAGAUCUCUUACAUUACCCAGGCAUGUCCAUGCACCUCUCACAUCACACAUCCAAUUUCCACGCACCUCUUACAUCACCCAACCAUGUCCAUGCACCUCUCACAUCACUCAACCAUGUCCAUGCACCUCUCACAUCACCCAACCCAUGUUCAUGUCCAUGCACUUCUCUCAUCAAUCAGCCAAUGUCUUUGUCCACGCACCUCUCACAUCACCGAACCAUGCCCAUAUCCAUGCACAUCUCACAUAACCCAACCAUGUUCUUGCACCUCUCACAUCACCCAGUCCAUGUCCAUGCACCUCUCACAUCACCCAACCAUGUCCAUGCACCUCUCACAUCACCCAGCCCAUGUCCAUGUCCAUGUCCAUGCACCUCUCACAUCACCCAGCCCAUGUCAUGUCCAUGCAUCUCUCACAUAACCCAACCCAUGUCCGUUUCCAUGCACCACUCACAUCACCCAGACAAUGUCCAUGUCCACAUAACUCUAUUAUCACCCAGCCCAUGUUCAUGCUCCUCCCACAUCACCCAGCCCAUGUCCAUAU